ACGCGCGGAACCUUACCAGGUCUUGACAUCCUUCGCUACUUCUAGAGAUAGAAGGUUCCCCUUCGGGGGACGAAGUGACAGGUGGUGCAUGGUUGUCGUCAGCUCGUGUCGUGAGAUGUUGGGUUAAGUCCCGCAACGAGCGCAACCCUUGAUCUUAGUUGCCAGCAUUCAGUUGGGCACUCUAAGGUGACUGCCGGUGACAAACCGGAGGAAGGUGGGGAUGACGUCAAAUCAUCAUGCCCCUUAUGACCUGGGCUACACACGUGCUACAAUGGACGGUACAAACGGUUGCCAACCCGCGAGGGGGAGCUAAUCCGAUAAAACCGUUCUCAGUUCGGAUUGUAGGCUGCAACUCGCCUACAUGAAGCCGGAAUCGCUAGUAAUCGCGGAUCAGCAUGCCGCGGUGAAUACGUUCCCGGGCCUUGUACUCACCGCCCGU
rnacentral:rRNA from 1 species